rnacentral:rRNA from 1 species
AACGAACGCUGGCGGCAUGCCUAACACAUGCAAGUCGAACGAGACCUUCGGGUCUAGUGGCGCACGGGUGCGUAACGCGUGGGAACCUGCCCUUAGGUUCGGAAUAACUCCCCGAAAGGGGUGCUAAUACCGGAUAAUGUCUUCGGACCAAAGAUUUAUCGCCUUUGGAUGGGCCCGCGUUGGCUUAGCUAGUUGGUAGGGUAAAAGCCUACCAAGGCGACGAUCCAUAGCUGGUCUGAGAGGAUGAUCAGCCACACUGGGACUGAGACACGGCCCAGACUCCUACGGGAGGCAGCAGUGGGGAAUAUUGGACAAUGGGCGAAAGCCUGAUCCAGCAAUGCCGCGUGAGUGAUGAAGGCCUUAGUGUUGUAAAGCUCUUUUACCCGGGAUGAUAAUGACGGUACCGGGAGAAUAAGCUCCGGCUAACUCCGUG